CCACAAACUAAAGGUGCUCUUUGCAGCGAAGGAGCGCCAACAACAAGGCAAAUACAAGUAGUCGAUCUCUUCUCCUCAUGGCACAUGUCAAACAGAGCGACACAAGGAGGACCGUGGCCAUCAAUUUCCUGGUCAUUGCUAUGAUGUUUGCUUCCACUUUGCCACCCUGCCAUGCACUCAAGAUUGUGGGCGAGAAAUGUGUGUAUUUGCAACGGUGCACCACAACUGACUGCAAGGAUGAAUGCAUGCGACUAAUCGGGCACAAACGUGGCUGGGUCGGGACUUGCAGAGAGGUUAAUAGCUGUUGCUGCAGAAAAUACGGGAAAGCACCAUUUUGAUCGUGGCUCCAUGAUGUAAGAUGAAUCCCAGUCGUGCUUGUGCGAAUUGUAAUCCCCGCGAAUAAGAUCAUCGCAUGUAAUGUAUCUAUCUGUUUCAUCAAAAUGGAAUAAACAUUUGGGA